rnacentral:rRNA from 1 species
CUAAGCCAUGUUAGUUAUUGUAGUAAUACAAGGCAGACGGCUCAGUAACGCGUAGUCAACCUAACUUAUGGACGGGGAUAACCUCGGGAAACUGAGAAUAAUACCCGAUAGGUCAUGAUGCCUGGAAUGGUUUAUGACUCAAAUAAUUUAUUGCCGUAGGAUGGGACUGCGAGCUAUCACUUUGUUGGUGAGGUAAUGGCCCACCAAGGCUAUUACAGCUACGGGCUCUGAGAGGAGUAGCCCGGAGAUGGGUACUGAGACAAGGACCCAGGCCCUAUGGGGCGCAGCAGGCGAGAAAACUUUGCAAUGCGCGAAAGCGCGACAAGGUUAAUCUGAGUGGUUCCUGCUAAAGGAACCUUUUGUUAGUCGUAGAACCACUGAUGAAUAAGGGGUGGGCAAGUUCUGGUGUCAGCCGCCGCGGUAAAACCAGCACCUCAAGUGGUCAGGAUGAUUAUUGGGCCUAAAGCAUCCGUAGCCUGUUCUGUAAGUUUUCGGUUAAAUCUAUGCGCUCAACGUAUAGGCUGCCGAAAAUACUGCAGAACUAGGGAGUGGGAGAGGUAGACGGUACUCGGUAGGAAGGGGUAAAAUCCUUUGAUCUAUUGAUGACCACCUGUGGCGAAGGCGGUCUACCAGAACACGUUCGACGGUGAGGGAUGAAAGCUGGGGGAGCAAACCGGAUUAGAUACCCGGGUAGUCCCAGCUGUAAACGAUGCAAACUCGAUGAUGCGUUGGCUUGUUGCUAGCGCAGUGUCGCAGGGAAGCCGUUAAGUUUGCCGCCUGGGAAGUACGUACGCAAGUAUGAAACUUAAAGGAAUUGGCGGGGGAGCACCACAAGGGGU